rnacentral:pre_miRNA from 1 species
CGUGCACCGGUGGGGUCCCUUGGCCUGGCCUGUGCCCUCUCGCAAUUCAGGACCCCUUGGGGAAUGUUGGAGAGCCGGUUUCAGUCCAAUCCCACAGGCCAGGCCGAGGGACUCCACUGGUGCACG